rnacentral:rRNA from 1 species
UACGGGGGGGCAAGCGUUGUUCGGAAUUACUGGGCGUAAAGGGCUCGUAGGUGGCCAACUAAGUCAGACGUGAAAUCCCUCAGCUUAACUGGGAACUGCGUCUGAUACUGGAUGGCUUGAAUCCGGGAGAGGGAUGCAGAAUUCCAGGUGUAGCGGUGAAAUGCGUAGAUAUCUGGAGGAAUACCGGUGGCGAAGGCGGCAUCCUGGACCGGCAUUGACGCUGAGGAGCGAAAGCCAGGGGAGCAAACGGG